ensembl:lncRNA
AUGAGCGCCGACGUGUGUCCCAGCACGUAGCCCGGGAUCCAGCCCUCGGCGGCGGGGCCCUGCUCCGUGGCCGCCCGGAACACCAGGAACAUGUUCUGCUGGUUGCUGGCCAGGAUCUGCACCCCCUCGCCCUGGACCACGCUGACCUCGUCCUCCUUCACCGCCAUUGUCUGUGGGAGCCCUGGCUCUGCCCCCAGAGACGCCCUGGCUCUGGGUCUGGUUCGGCCGGGCCGGCGACUCCCCUACCUCCCCGGGGAAGGUGAACGAGCCAGGCCGGCUGGCCGGGGAGCCCGGCAUGGAGCUCCAGAACCCAGAGCCCCCCUUCGGCCCGGGGCUGGGCGGGGGCAGGGGGAGGGCGUCCUUGCCAAAGGCAGGGGUGGCCAUCGGAGAGGCCAUGGGGGAGAUGGUCCCCGGGCGGGGUUUGGAGGUGGGGGUGGAGGGUGUGGGUCCCACGGUGGCACGGGGGCUAGGGGCCACCGCAUUGGAGGGGGCGGGGGUCUGGGCUGGGUCGUCGGGGGGCUGGAGGGGGCGCUUACCCUGUGGACUACCCCCGGUGGGGGGGGCAGGGGAAGGGGCGGGGCAGGGGGACGAACCUGGAUCACACAAGUGAGCAAAACUCACAACCUCAGUCAACAAAAUAAAGGUCCAAUGUCUCCCGUGGAGAGUCACCUCAUUUACGACACACACACGCACACACACACACACACACAGACGGCCAGCCUCCCUACCUGAAACCUUGGGGGGGCCGUCGGACUCUCCCCCGGGGUGGUGGCGGAGGGGCUGGGGGAGGCGCGAGGGCUGGGGGAUCCUGGAGGGCCGGCGGGAGGGGGAGCCGGAGCCGUCCUGGGGGGUGCCGCUGCCGCCUCCCCCAGGGGCCCCCGCUCCACUGGGCCCGCCCGGGGCCCCGAGGCUGGGGGGACACGGCCCGCCGCUCGCCCCUACGUGGUUCCUCUGGUACUCCAGCGGGGAGAGGCUGUGAGGGGACCGUCCUCCUUAUAUCAGUCCCUCCACCACUUCGACUUGGAGAGUUUAAG